rnacentral:rRNA from 1 species
UCGGGAAUCUUCGGCAAUGGACGAACGUCUGACCGAGCAACGCCGCGUGAGUGAAGAAGGUUUUCGGAUCGUAAAACUCUGUUGUUAGAGAAGAACAAGGACGUUAGUAACUGAACGUCCCCUGACGGUAUCUAACCAGAAAGCCACGGCUAACUACGUGCCAGCAGCCGCGGUACUACGUAGGUGGCAAGCGUUGUCCGGAUUUAUUGGGCGUAAAGCGAGCGCAGGCGGUUUCUUAAGUCUGAGGUGAAAGCCCCCGGCUAAACCGGGGAGGGUCAUUGGAAACUGGGAGACGUGAGGGCAGAAGAGGAGGGUGGAAUUCCAGGGGUAGCGGUGAAAUGCGUAGAUAUAUGGAGAAACACCAGUGGCGAAGGCGGCUCUAUGGUCUGUAACGGACGCUGAGGAAAGAAAGGGGGGGGAGCAAACAGG